UACGUAGGGAGCAAGCGUUGUCCGGAAUCAUUGGGCGUAAAGCGCGCGUAGGUGGCUUCAUAAGUCCGUUGUGAAAGUCAAAGGCUCAACCUUUGAAAGCCGAUGGAUACUGUGGAGCUAGAGUACGGAAGAGGCGAGUGGAAUUCCUGGUGUAGCGUGGAAUGCGCAGAUAUCAGGAGGAACACCAAUAGCGAAGGCAGCUCGCUGGACGUUACUGACACUGAGCGCGAAGCGUGGGGCGAACAG
rnacentral:rRNA from 1 species